rnacentral:tRNA from 1 species
GGGUAUAGCUCAGUAGUAGAGUGCAUGCCUAGCAUGCAUGUGAUCCUGGGUUCAAUUCCCAGUACCUCCA